ACUAAGCGUACACGGUGGAUGCCCUGGCAGUCAGAGGCGAUGAAGGACGUGCUAAUCUGCGAUAAGCGUCGGUGAGGUGAUAUGAACCGUUAUAACCGGCGAUUUCCGAAUGGGGAAACCCAACCGAGAUUCCCCCAGUAGCGGCGAGCGAACGGGGAGGAGCCCAGAGCCUGAAUCAGUGUGUGUGUUAGUGGAAGCGUCUGGAAAGGCGCGCGAUACAGGGUGACAGCCCCGUACACAAAAAUGCACAUAUUGUGAGCUCGAUGAGUAGGGCGGGACACGUGGUAUCCUGUCUGAAUAUGGGGGGACCAUCCUCCAAGGCUAAAUACUCCUGACUGACCGAUAGUGAACCAGUACCGUGAGGGAAAGGCGAAAAGAACCCCGGCGAGGGGAGUGAAAAAGAACCUGAAACCGUGUACGUACAAGCAGUGGGAGCCUCUUAAUGGGGUGACUGCGUACCUUUUGUAUAAUGGGUCAGCGACUUAUAUUCUGUAGCAAGGUUAACCGAAUAGGGGAGCCGAAGGGAAACCGAGUCUUAACUGGGCGUUAAGUUGCAGGGUAUAGACCCGAAACCCGGUGAUCUAGCCAUGGGCAGGUUGAAGGUUGGGUAACACUAACUGGAGGACCGAACCGACUAAUGUUGAAAAAUUAGCGGAUGACUUGUGGCUGGGGGUGAAAGGCCAAUCAAACCGGGAGAUAGCUGGUUCUCCCCGAAAGCUAUUUAGGUAGCGCCUCGUGAAUUCAUCUCCGGGGGUAGAGCACUGUUUCGGCAAGGGGGUCAUCCCGACUUACCAACCCGAUGCAAACUGCGAAUACCGGAGAAUGUUAUCACGGGAGACACACGGCGGGUGCUAACGUCCGUCGUGAAGAGGGAAACAACCCAGACCGCCAGCUAAGGUCCCAAAGUCAUGGUUAAGUGGGAAACGAUGUGGGAAGGCCCAGACAGCCAGGAUGUUGGCUUAGAAGCAGCCAUCAUUUAAAGAAAGCGUAAUAGCUCACUGGUCGAGUCGGCCUGCGCGGAAGAUGUAACGGGGCUAAACCAUGCACCGAAGCUGCGGCAGCGACACUAUGUGUUGUUGGGUAGGGGAGCGUUCUGUAAGCCUGUGAAGGUGGCCUGUGAGGGUUGCUGGAGGUAUCAGAAGUGCGAAUGCUGACAUAAGUAACGAUAAAGCGGGUGAAAAGCCCGCUCGCCGGAAGACCAAGGGUUCCUGUCCAACGUUAAUCGGGGCAGGGUGAGUCGACCCCUAAGGCGAGGCCGAAAGGCGUAGUCGAUGGGAAACAGGUUAAUAUUCCUGUACUUGGUGUUACUGCGAAGGGGGGACGGAGAAGGCUAUGUUGGCCGGGCGACGGUUGUCCCGGUUUAAGCGUGUAGGCUGGUUUUCCAGGCAAAUCCGGAAAAUCAAGGCUGAGGCGUGAUGACGAGGCACUACGGUGCUGAAGCGACAAAUGCCCUGCUUCCAGGAAAAGCCUCUAAGCAUCAGGUAACAUCAAAUCGUACCCCAAACCGACACAGGUGGUCAGGUAGAGAAUACCAAGGCGCUUGAGAGAACUCGGGUGAAGGAACUAGGCAAAAUGGUGCCGUAACUUCGGGAGAAGGCACGCUGAUAUGUAGGUGAAGCGACUUGCUCGUGGAGCUGAAAUCAGUCGAAGAUACCAGCUGGCUGCAACUGUUUAUUAAAAACACAGCACUGUGCAAACACGAAAGUGGACGUAUACGGUGUGACGCCUGCCCGGUGCCGGAAGGUUAAUUGAUGGGGUUAGCGGUAACGCGAAGCUCUUGAUCGAAGCCCCGGUAAACGGCGGCCGUAACUAUAACGGUCCUAAGGUAGCGAAAUUCCUUGUCGGGUAAGUUCCGACCUGCACGAAUGGCGUAAUGAUGGCCAGGCUGUCUCCACCCGAGACUCAGUGAAAUUGAACUCGCUGUGAAGAUGCAGUGUACCCGCGGCAAGACGGAAAGACCCCGUGAACCUUUACUAUAGCUUGACACUGAACAUUGAGCCUUGAUGUGUAGGAUAGGUGGGAGGCUUUGAAGUGUGGACGCCAGUCUGCAUGGAGCCGACCUUGAAAUACCACCCUUUAAUGUUUGAUGUUCUAACGUGGGCCCCUUACCGGGGUUGCGGACAGUGUCUGGUGGGUAGUUUGACUGGGGCGGUCUCCUCCUAAAGAGUAACGGAGGAGCACGAAGGUUGGCUAAUCCUGGUCGGACAUCAGGAGGUUAGUGCAAUGGCAUAAGCCAGCUUGACUGCGAGCGUGACGGCGCGAGCAGGUGCGAAAGCAGGUCAUAGUGAUCCGGUGGUUCUGAAUGGAAGGGCCAUCGCUCAACGGAUAAAAGGUACUCCGGGGAUAACAGGCUGAUACCGCCCAAGAGUUCAUAUCGACGGCGGUGUUUGGCACCUCGAUGUCGGCUCAUCACAUCCUGGGGCUGAAGUAGGUCCCAAGGGUAUGGCUGUUCGCCAUUUAAAGUGGUACGCGAGCUGGGUUUAGAACGUCGUGAGACAGUUCGGUCCCUAUCUGCCGUGGGCGCUGGAGAACUGAGGGGGGCUGCUCCUAGUACGAGAGGACCGGAGUGGACGCAUCACUGGUGUUCGGGUUGUCAUGCCAAUGGCACUGCCCGGUAGCUAAAUGCGGAAGAGAUAAGUGCUGAAAGCAUCUAAGCACGAAACUUGCCCCGAGAUGAGUUCUCCCUGACUCCUUGAGAGUCCUGAAGGAACGUUGAAGACGACGACGUUGAUAGGCCGGGUGUGUAAGCGCAGCGAUGCGUUGAGCUAACCGGUACUAAUGAACCGUGAGGCUUAACC
rnacentral:rRNA from 1 species